AGAAAUAUGUCUGAAAAAAGAGUUACUUUGAUAGAGUA
rnacentral:tRNA from 1 species